rnacentral:rRNA from 1 species
AUUCCUACGGGAGGCAGCAGUGAGGAAUAUUGGUCAAUGGCCGGGAGGCUGAACCAGCCAAGUCGCGUGAGGGAAGACGGCCCUACGGGUUGUAAACCUCUUUUGUCAGGGAGCAAGGUGCAGGUCGGGACCUGCUGUGAGAGUACCUGAAGAAAAAGCAUCGGCUAACUCCGUGCCAGCAGCCGCGGUAAUACGGAGGAUGCGAGCGUUAUCCGGAUUUAUUGGGUUUAAAGGGUGCGCAGGCGGAGGCACAAGUCAGCGGUAAAAUGUCGGGGCUCAACCCCGGCCGGCCGUUGAAACUGGUU